rnacentral:rRNA from 1 species
AACGAACGCUGGCGGCAUGCCUAACACAUGCAAGUCGAACGAGACCUUCGGGUCUAGUGGCGCACGGGUGCGUAACGCGUGGGAACCUGCCCUUAGGUUCGGAAUAACUCCCCGAAAGGGGUGCUAAUACCGGAUAAUGUCUUCGGACCAAAGAUUUAUCGCCUUUGGAUGGGCCCGCGUUGGAUUAGCUAGUUGGUAGGGUAAAAGCCUACCAAGGCGACGAUCCAUAGCUGGUCUGAGAGGAUGAUCAGCCACACUGGGACUGAGACACGGCCCAGACUCCUACGGGAGGCAGCAGUGGGGAAUAUUGGACAAUGGGCGAAAGCCUGAUCCAGCAAUGCCGCGUGAGUGACGAAGGCCUUAGGGUUGUAAAGCUCUUUUACCCGGGAUGAUAAUGACAGUACCGGGAGAAUAAGCUCCGGCUAACUCCGU